UACGUAGGGGGCAAGCGUUGUCCGGAAUCAUUGGGCGUAAAGCGCGUGUAGGCGGCUCGGUAAGUCUGCUGUGAAAAGUCCAGGGCUCAACCCUGGGAUGCCGGUGGAUACUGUCGAGCUCGAGUCCGGAAGAGGCGAGUGGAAUUCCUGGUGUAGCGGUGAAAUGCGCAGAUAUCAGGAGGAACACCAAUGGCGAAGGCAGCUCGCUGGGACGUGACUGACGCUGAGACGCGAAAGCGUGGGGAGCAAACAGG
rnacentral:rRNA from 1 species